rnacentral:rRNA from 1 species
GUUCGGAUUGAAGGCUGAAAUUCGCCUUCCAUGAAGUCGGAAUUGCUAGUAAUGGCAGGUCAGCAUACUGCCGUGAAUACGUUCCCGGGCCUUGUACACACCGCCCGUCGCACCAUGAGAGUUGGAGAUACCCGAAGCCUAUGAGCUAACUUUUAGAGGCAGUAGUCGAAGGUAGAAUCAAUGAUUGGGGUGAAGUCGUAACAAGGUAGC